rnacentral:rRNA from 1 species
CGCGACCCCWGGUCAGGCGGGGUUACCCGCUGAAUUUAAGCAUAUCAAUAAGCGGA